rnacentral:ncRNA from 1 species
UACAAGGUUUCCUUGGGCCGGACGGAGAUUGGCCCUCGAGUGCAAAGGCAGAAGGGAGCUUGAUUGCAAGACCCACCCGUCGAGCAGGGACAAAAGUCGGCCUUAGUGAUUCGACGAUGCCGAGUGGAAGGGACGUCACUCAA